AUUGAACGCUGGCGGCAGGCCUAACACAUGCAAGUCGAGCGAGCGGCGGACGGGGGAGUACUGUAUGGGGACUGCCCGAUAGAGGGGGAACAAUACUGGAAACGGUGGCUAAUACCGCAUACUAUCGGCUCACCCAUAUGGGAUUCGCUAGUAGGUAAGGUAAUGGCUUACCUAGGCGACGAUCCCUAGCUGGACUGAGAGGCUGAUCAGCCACACUGGGGCUGUGACACGGGCCAGAAUCCUACGGAGGGAGCAGUGGGGAAUAUUGCACAAUGGGCGCAAACCUGACGCAGACAGGCCGCGUGUAUGAUGAAGGCCCUAGGGUUGUAAAGGACUUUCAGUCGGGAGGCGUUACCGAAAGAAGAAGCACCGGCUAACGCCGUGCCAGCGGCCGCGGUAAUAC
rnacentral:rRNA from 1 species